ACAGCCUAACACAUGCAAGUCGAACGAGAAGCCACCUUCGGGUGGUGGAAAGUGGCAGACGGGUGAGUAACGCGUGGGAACGUGCCUUUCGGUUCGGAAUAACCCAGGGGAAACUUGGGCUAAUACCGGAUACUGCCCUUCGGGGGAAAGAUUCAUUGCCGAAAGAUCGGCCCGCGUCGGAUUAGCUAGUUGGUAGGGUAAUGGCCUACCAAGGCUGACGAUCCGUAGCUGGUCUGAGAGGAUGACCAGCCACACUGGGACUGAGACACGGCCCAGACUCCUACGGGAGGCAGCAGUGGGGAAUAUUGGACAAUGGGCGAAAGCCUGAUCCAGCCAUGCCGCGUGGGUGAAGAAGGCCUUAGGGUUGUAAACCCCUUUCAGCGGGGAAGAUAAUGACGGUACCCGCAGAAGUAGUACCCGGCUAACUCCGUGCCAGCAGCCGCGGUAAUACGGAGGGGACUAGCGUUGUCCGGAAUUAUUGGGCGUAAAGCGCNACAGUAGGCGGAUUGUUAAGUCUGNGUGUUGACAAACNUCCCCACAGGGGCUUCAAACC
rnacentral:rRNA from 1 species